UUAACUCAAAUUUGUAUGGAUUUGGAACAUUUACCUAGGUUUGCCGCUAGGGGCGCUGUUUUAACAUCAUACAAAUAUAAGUUA
rnacentral:pre_miRNA from 1 species